rnacentral:rRNA from 1 species
AGUGAACGCUGGCGGCAGGCCUAACACAUGCAAGUCGAGCGGCAGCGGGUCCUUCGGGAUGCCGGCGAGCGGCGGACGGGUGAGGAAUGCGUCGGAAUCUGCCUUUUUGUGGGGGAUAACGUAGGGAAACUUACGCUAAUGCCGCAUACGACCUACGGGUGAAAGUGGGGGACCGCAAGGCCUCACGCAGAAAGAUGAGCCGACGCCGGAUUAGCUAGUGGGCAGGGUAAAGGCCCACCAAGGCGACGAUCCGUAGCUGGUCUGAGAGGAUGAGAAGCCACACUGGAACUGGUACACGGUCCAGACUCCUACGGGAGGCAGAAGUGGGGAAUAUUGGACAAUGGGCGCAAGCCUGAUCCAGCCAGGCCGCGUGUGUGAAGAAGGCCUUCGGGUUGUAAAGCACUUUUGUCCGGAAAGAAAUCCAAUCGAUUAAUACUCGGUUGGGAUGACGGUACCGGAAGAAUAAACACCGGCUAACUUCGUGCCAGCCGCCGCCGUAACAC